rnacentral:rRNA from 1 species
CUUUAUACUGUGAAACUGCGAAUGGCUCAUUAAAUCAGUUAUCGUUUAUUUGAUAGUACCUUACUACAUGGAUACCUGUGGUAAUUCUAGAGCUAAUACAUGCUAAAAACCCCGACUUCAGGAAGGGGUGUAUUUAUUAGAUAAAAAACCAACGCCCUUCGGGGCUCCUUGGUGAAUCAUAAUAACUUAACGAAUCGCAUGGCCUUGCGCCGGCGAUGGUUCAUUCAAAUUUCUGCCCUAUCAACUUUCGAUGGUAGGAUAGUGGCCUACCAUGGUGGCAACGGGUAACGGGGAAUUAGGGUUCGAUUCCGGAGAGGGAGCCUGAGAAACGGCUACCACAUCCAAGGAAGGCAGCAGGCGCGCAAAUUACCCAAUCCCGAUACGGGGAGGUAGUGACAAUAAAUACUGAUACGGGGCUCUUUUGGGUCUCGUAAUUGGAAUGAGAACAAUUUAAAUCCCUUAACGAGGAACAAUUGGAGGGCAAGUCUGGUGCCAGCAGCCGCGGUAAUUCCAGCUCCAAUAGCGUAUAUUAAAGUUGUUGCAGUUAAAAAGCUCGUAGUUGAACCUUGGCUCUGGCUGGCCGGUCCGCCUCACCGCGAGUACUGGUCCGGCUGGAGCUUUCCUUCUGGGGAACCUCAUGGCCUUCACUGGCUGUGGGGGGAACCAGGACUUUUACUGUGAAAAAAUUAGAGUGUUCAAAGCAGGCCUUUGCUCGAAUACAUUAGCAUGGAAUAAUAGAAUAGGACGUGCGGUUCUAUUUUGUUGGUUUCUAGGACCGCCGUAAUGAUUAAUAGGGAUAGUCGGGGGCGUCAGUAUUCAGCUGUCAGAGGUGAAAUUCUUGGAUUUGCUGAAGACUAACUACUGCGAAAGCAUUCGCCAAGGAUGUUUUCAUUAAUCAGGGAACGAAAGUUAGGGGAUCGAAGACGAUCAGAUACCGUCGUAGUCUUAACCAUAAACUAUGCCGACUAGGGAUCGGACGGGAUUCUAUUAUGACCCGUUCGGCACCUUACGAGAAAUCAAA